CUAUCAUGCAGUCGAGCGAACUGAUUAGAAGCUUGCUUCUAUGACGUUAGCGGCGGACGGGUGAGUAACACGUGGGCAACCUGCCUGUAAGACUGGGAUAACUUCGGGAAACCGAAGCUAAUACCGGAUAGGAUCUUCUCCUUCAUGGGAGAUGAUUGAAAGAUGGUUUCGGCUAUCACUUACAGAUGGGCCCGCGGUGCAUUAGCUAGUUGGUGAGGUAACGGCUCACCAAGGCAACGAUGCAUAGCCGACCUGAGAGGGUGAUCGGCCACACUGGGACUGAGACACGGCCCAGACUCCUACGGGAGGCAGCAGUAGGGAAUCUUCCGCAAUGGACGAAAGUCUGACGGAGCAACGCCGCGUGAGUGAUGAAGGCUUUCGGGUCGUAAAACUCUGUUGUUAGGGAAGAACAAGUACAAGAGUAACUGCUUGUACCUUGACGGUACCUAACCAGAAAGCCACGGCUAACUACGUGCCAGCAGCCGCGGUAAUACGUAGGUGGCAAGCGUUAUCCGGAAUUAUUGGGCGUAAAGCGCGCGCAGGCGGUUUCUUAAGUCUGAUGUGAAAGCCCACGGCUCAACCGUGGAGGGUCAUUGGAAACUGGGGAACUUGAGUGCAGAAGAGAAAAGCGGAAUUCCACGUGUAGCGGUGAAAUGCGUAGAGAUGUGGAGGAACACCAGUGGCGAAGGCGGCUUUUUGGUCUGUAACUGACGCUGAGGCGCGAAAGCGUGGGGAGCAAACAGGAUUAGAUACCCUGGUAGUCCACGCCGUAAACGAUGAGUGCUAAGUGUUAGAGGGUUUUCCGCCCCUUUAGUGCUGCAGCUAACGCAUUAAGCACUCCGCCUGGGGAGUACGGUCGCAAGACUGAAACUCAAAGGAAUUGACGGGGGGCCCCCACAAGCGGUGGAGCAUGUGGUUUUAAUU
rnacentral:rRNA from 1 species